CUUUUAUGCGUUCUUGUUUAUUAUAAUAAGAACAAUGGCUGUUUCGAUUUAUGGUGGCGUAUUAUAUGAGGAGUCACAAGCUCCUGCAAAGCUUCUUCUAUCCGUUCCAUCUGAAUUCUACAACGUCGAAAUACAUAGGUUUUUAAAUCAAAUAGAGCUCAGCCCAGCUAUUUUGACAGGCAAACAUUUUUUCACUGUCCGUAAAGGCUUAGUUUUAGCUUUGGCUGGACCUAUUAUAACAUAUGAAAUUGUUCUGGUACAAUUUAUGCAAACAACUGGAGACAUAAACACCUUCACGAACGGUACCUAUAUUAAAUGCUAACUUAGAUAAACGAAUCUGAUUAAUUUAUUUAUUUUUUCAACACAUCAGUUAAAUUAAGUAAAAUAUAAGGGAACACAUUACAGGAAA